rnacentral:rRNA from 1 species
GGGUUGUGAGGUUAAGCGACUAAGCGUACACGGUGGAUGCCCUGGCAGUCAGAGGCGAUGAAGGACGUGCUAAUCUGCGAUAAGCGUCGGUAAGGUGAUAUGAACCGUUAUAACCGGCGAUUUCCGAAUGGGGAAACCCAGUGUGAUUCGUCACACUAUCAUUAACUGAAUCCAUAGGUUAAUGAGGCGAACCGGGGGAACUGAAACAUCUAAGUACCCCGAGGAAAAGAAAUCAACCGAGAUUCCCCCAGUAGCGGCGAGCGAACGGGGAGCAGCCCAGAGCCUGAAUCAGUGUGUGUGUUAGUGGAAGCGUCUGGAAAGGCGUGCGAUACAGGGUGACAGCCCCGUACACAAAAAUGCACAUGCUGUGAGCUCGAUGAGUAGGGCGGGACACGUGGUAUCCUGUCUGAAUAUGGGGGGACCAUCCUCCAAGGCUAAAUACUCCUGACUGACCGAUAGUGAACCAGUACCGUGAGGGAAAGGCGAAAAGAACCCCGGCGAGGGGAGUGAAAAAGAACCUGAAACCGUGUACGUACAAGCAGUGGGAGCACGCUUAGGCGUGUGACUGCGUACCUUUUGUAUAAUGGGUCAGCGACUUAUAUUCUGUAGCAAGGUUAACCGAAUAGGGGAGCCGAAGGGAAACCGAGUCUUAACUGGGCGUUAAGUUGCAGGGUAUAGACCCGAAACCCGGUGAUCUAGCCAUGGGCAGGUUGAAGGUUGGGUAACACUAACUGGAGGACCGAACCGACUAAUGUUGAAAAAUUAGCGGAUGACUUGUGGCUGGGGGUGAAAGGCCAAUCAAACCGGGAGAUAGCUGGUUCUCCCCGAAAGCUAUUUAGGUAGCGCCUCGUGAAUUCAUCUCCGGGGGUAGAGCACUGUUUCGGCAAGGGGGUCAUCCCGACUUACCAACCCGAUGCAAACUGCGAAUACCGGAGAAUGUUAUCACGGGAGACACACGGCGGGUGCUAACGUCCGUCGUGAAGAGGGAAACAACCCAGACCGCCAGCUAAGGUCCCAAAGUCAUGGUUAAGUGGGAAACGAUGUGGGAAGGCCCAGACAGCCAGGAUGUUGGCUUAGAAGCAGCCAUCAUUUAAAGAAAGCGUAAUAGCUCACUGGUCGAGUCGGCCUGCGCGGAAGAUGUAACGGGGCUAAACCAUGCACCGAAGCUGCGGCAGCGACACUGUGUGUUGUUGGGUAGGGGAGCGUUCUGUAAGCCUGCGAAGGUGUGCUGUGAGGCAUGCUGGAGGUAUCAGAAGUGCGAAUGCUGACAUAAGUAACGAUAAAGCGGGUGAAAAGCCCGCUCGCCGGAAGACCAAGGGUUCCUGUCCAACGUUAAUCGGGGCAGGGUGAGUCGACCCCUAAGGCGAGGCCGAAAGGCGUAGUCGAUGGGAAACAGGUUAAUAUUCCUGUACUUGGUGUUACUGCGAAGGGGGGACGGAGAAGGCUAUGUUGGCCGGGCGACGGUUGUCCCGGUUUAAGCGUGUAGGCUGGUUUUCCAGGCAAAUCCGGAAAAUCAAGGCUGAGGCGUGAUGACGAGGCACUACGGUGCUGAAGCAACAAAUGCCCUGCUUCCAGGAAAAGCCUCUAAGCAUCAGGUAACAUCAAAUCGUACCCCAAACCGACACAGGUGGUCAGGUAGAGAAUACCAAGGCGCUUGAGAGAACUCGGGUGAAGGAACUAGGCAAAAUGGUGCCGUAACUUCGGGAGAAGGCACGCUGAUAUGUAGGUGAAGUCCCUCGCGGAUGGAGCUGAAAUCAGUCGAAGAUACCAGCUGGCUGCAACUGUUUAUUAAAAACACAGCACUGUGCAAACACGAAAGUGGACGUAUACGGUGUGACGCCUGCCCGGUGCCGGAAGGUUAAUUGAUGGGGUCAGCGCAAGCGAAGCUCUUGAUCGAAGCCCCGGUAAACGGCGGCCGUAACUAUAACGGUCCUAAGGUAGCGAAAUUCCUUGUCGGGUAAGUUCCGACCUGCACGAAUGGCGUAAUGAUGGCCAGGCUGUCUCCACCCGAGACUCAGUGAAAUUGAACUCGCUGUGAAGAUGCAGUGUACCCGCGGCAAGACGGAAAGACCCCGUGAACCUUUACUAUAGCUUGACACUGAACAUUGAGCCUUGAUGUGUAGGAUAGGUGGGAGGCUUUGAAGUGUGGACGCCAGUCUGCAUGGAGCCGGCCUUGAAAUACCACCCUUUAAUGUUUGAUGUUCUAACGUUGACCCGUGAUCCGGGUUGCGGACAGUGUCUGGUGGGUAGUUUGACUGGGGCGGUCUCCUCCUAAAGAGUAACGGAGGAGCACGAAGGUUGGCUAAUCCUGGUCGGACAUCAGGAGGUUAGUGCAAUGGCAUAAGCCAGCUUGACUGCGAGCGUGACGGCGCGAGCAGGUGCGAAAGCAGGUCAUAGUGAUCCGGUGGUUCUGAAUGGAAGGGCCAUCGCUCAACGGAUAAAAGGUACUCCGGGGAUAACAGGCUGAUACCGCCCAAGAGUUCAUAUCGACGGCGGUGUUUGGCACCUCGAUGUCGGCUCAUCACAUCCUGGGGCUGAAGUAGGUCCCAAGGGUAUGGCUGUUCGCCAUUUAAAGUGGUACGCGAGCUGGGUUUAGAACGUCGUGAGACAGUUCGGUCCCUAUCUGCCGUGGGCGCUGGAGAACUGAGGGGGGCUGCUCCUAGUACGAGAGGACCGGAGUGGACGCAUCACUGGUGUUCGGGUUGUCAUGCCAAUGGCACUGCCCGGUAGCUAAAUGCGGAAGAGAUAAGUGCUGAAAGCAUCUAAGCACGAAACUUGCCCCGAGAUGAGUUCUCCCUGACUCCUUGAGAGUCCUGAAGGAACGUUGAAGACGACGACGUUGAUAGGCCGGGUGUGUAAGCGCAGCGAUGCGUUGAGCUAACCGGUACUAAUGAACCGUGAGGCUUAACCUUACAACGCCGAA